rnacentral:rRNA from 1 species
CACGUAGGGCGCAAGCGUUGUCCGGAAUCAUUGGGCGUAAAGCGCGCGUAGGUGGCCAUUUAAGUCCGCUGUGAAAGUCAAAGGCUCAACCUUUGAAAGCCGGUGGAUACUGGAUGGCUAGAGUACGGAAGAGGCGAGUGGAAUUCCUGGUGUAGCGGUGGAAUGCGCAGAUAUCAGGAGGAACACCAAUAGCGAAGGCAGCUCGCUGGGACGUUACUGACACUGAGGCGCGAAAGCGUGGGGAGCGAACAGG